rnacentral:rRNA from 1 species
GACGAACGCUGGCGGCGUGCUUAACACAUGCAAGUCGAACGCUGAAGCUCAGCUUGCUGGGUGGAUGAGUGGCGAACGGGUGAGUAACACGUGAGUAACCUGCCCUCUUCUUUGGGAUAACGCCCGGAAACGGGUGCUAAUACUGGUUAUUCACUGAUUCUCGCAUGGGGGUUGGUGGAAAGGUUUUUUCUGGUGGGGGAUGGGCUCGCGGCCUAUCAGCUUGUUGGUGGGGUGAUGGCCUACCAAGGCUUUGACGGGUAGCCGGCCUGAGAGGGUGACCGGUCACAUUGGGACUGAGAUACGGCCCAGACUCCUACGGGAGGCAGCAGUGGGGAAUAUUGCACAAUGGGCGAAAGCCUGAUGCAGCGACGCCGCGUGAGGGAUGGAGGCCUUCGGGUUGUAAACCUCUUUCGCUCAUGGUCAAGCCGCAGCUUUGGGUUGUGGUGAGGGUAGUGGGUAAAGAAGCGCCGGCUAACUACGUG